CCUACGGGAGGCAGCAGUGGGGAAUAUUGGGCAAUGGGCGCAAGCCUGACCCAGCAACGCCGCGUGAAGGUAGAAGGCUUUCGGGUUGUAAACUUCUUUUGUCAGGGACGAAGCAAGUGACGGUACCUGACGAAUAAGCCACGGCUAACUACGUGCCAGCAGCCGCGGUAAUACGGAGGUGGCAAGCGUUAUCCGGAUUUACUGGGUGUAAGGGGGGUGUAGGCGGGACUGCAAGUCAGAUGUGAAAGCCCCGGGCUCAACCUGUGGCCUGCAAUUGAAACUGUAGUGCUUGAGUACUGGGGAGGCAGAAGGAAGUCCUGGUGUAGCGGUGAAAUGCGUAGAUAUUA
rnacentral:rRNA from 1 species